rnacentral:tRNA from 1 species
GUGCCCGUAGCUCAGCUGAAUAGAGCGUUUCCCUCCGAAGGAAAAGGUCAUGGGUUUGAAUCCCAUCGGGCAUA